GACGAACCGUGCGAACGUUAUUCGGAAUCACUGGGCUUAAAGGGUGUGUAGGCGGUCUGCCAAGUCAGGGGUGAAAUCCUUCGGCUCAACCGGAGAACUGCCCCUGAUACUGGCGGGCUAGAGGGAGACAGAGGCAGCCGGAACUACCGGUGGAGCGGUGAAAUGCGUUGAUAUCGGUAGGAACGCCAGAGGCGAAAGCGGGCUGCUGGAUCUCUUCUGACGCUGAGACACGAAAGCUAGGGGAGCGAACGGGAUUAGAUACCCCGGUAGUCCUAGCCCUAAACGAUGAGGACUGGAUGGUGGACCGGACACGGGCUCACCGUCGCAACAAAAGCGCUAAGUCCUCCGCCUGGGGAGUAUGGUCGCAAGGCUGAA
rnacentral:rRNA from 1 species